rnacentral:misc_RNA from 1 species
GAUGAAGAACGCAGCGAAAUGCGAAAAGUAAUGUGAAUUGCAGAAUUCAGUGAAUCAUCGAAUCUUUGAACGCACAUUGCGCCCGCUGGUACUCCGGCGGGCACGCCUGUCCGAGCGUCAUUUCAACCCUCAAGCCCUCCUUCGGGAUGGGCCUGGUGUUGGGGCUCGGCCGCCAUCUCCGGCGGCCGUCCCCUAAAUACAGUGGCGGUCACGUCGCGACUCCUUUGCGUAGUAGAAACACCUCGCUCCGGAUAGCAACGCGGUCCACGCCGUAAAACCCCCAAUUUUCAAUGGUUGACCUCGGAUCAGGUGGGAAUACCCGCUGAACUUAAGCAUAUCAAUAAGCGAGGA